rnacentral:rRNA from 1 species
UUAAGGGUGCAGGGCGGAUGCCUUGGCACUAGGAGCCGAUGAAGGACGUGAUAAGCUGCGAUAAGCUUCGGGGAGUUGCACGUAAACUUUGAUCCGAAGAUUUCCGAAUGAGGAAACUCACUUAGAGUAAUGUCUAAGUAUCAUUAAGUGAAUACAUAGCUUAAUGAGGGGAACUCAGGGAACUGAAACAUCUAAGUACCUGAAGGAAGAGAAAGAAAUUCGAUUCCGUAAGUAGCGGCGAGCGAACGCGGAUUAGCCCAAACCAAUAAAGUUUUCUUUAUUGGGGUUGCGGACAUAUCAUAACGAAGAGGUAUCGUAAUUGAAGAGGUUUGGAAAGACCCACCACAGAAGGUAAUAGUCCUGUAUGUUAAACGAGAAGACUUUAGAUAUGAUCCAGAGUACCACGGGACACGUGAAACCCUGUGGGAAGCAGGAGGGACCACCCUCCAAGGCUAAAUACUACCUAGUGACCGAUAGCGUAUAGUACCGUGAGGGAAAGGUGAAAAGAACCCCGGGAGGGGAGUGAAAUAGAACCUGAAACCCUGCACUUACAAGCUGUGGAAGCACAUUUCUUGUGUGACCGCGUACUUUUUGUAGAACGGGCCAACGAGUUACGUUAAGUAGCAAGGUUAAGCACUUAAGGUGCGGAGCCGUAGCGAAAGCGAGUUUUAACUGAGCGUUCAGUUACUUGACGUAGACCCGAAACCGGGCGACCUACCCAUGAGCAGGAUGAAGCGAAAGUAAAAUUUCGUGGAGGUCCGAACCCACGAGCGUUGAAAAGCUCGGGGAUGACUUGUGGGUAGCGGUGAAAUUCCAAUCGAGCCCGGAGAUAGCUGGUUCUCCCCGAAAUAGCUUUAGGGCUAGCCUCAAGGUGAGAGAUACGGAGGUAGAGCACUGAAUGUCCUAGGGGGUAUUGCACCUACCGAAGACUAUCAAACUCCGAAUGCCGUCAUCUUAUACUUGGGAGUCAGACUGUGGGUGAUAAGAUUCAUAGUCGAAAGGGCAACAGCCCAGAUCGUCAGCUAAGGUCCCUAAAUGUAAGUUAAGUGGUAAAGGAUGUGGGAUUGCACAGACAACCAGGAUGUUGGCUUAGAAGCAGCCACUCAUUCAAAGAGUGCGUAAUAGCUCACUGGUCGAGUGAUCCUGCGCCGAAGAUUUCCGGGGCUAAAACUUACUACCGAAGCUACGGCAUCAGUAAUGAUGGGUAGGGGAGCUUCCCAUACGGGUUGAAGCAUGACCGUAAGGACAUGUGGACAGUAUGGGAGUGAGAAUGUUGGCAUGAGUAGCGAGAUGUGGGUGAGAAUCCCACAGGCCGUAAACCCAAGGUUUCCAGGGGAAGGUUCGUCCGCCCUGGGUUAGUCGGGACCUAAGCUGAGGCCGAAAGGCGUAGGUGAUGGACAACAGGUUGAUAUUCCUGUACUACCGAUAACCGUUUGAGAGAAGGGAUGACACAGUAGGAUAAGCUAAGCACACUGUUGGUUAUGUGUGCCAAAGCAUGAGCGCAGUCCAAGUAGGCAAAUCCGCUUUGAUAAUGCUGGGAUGUGAUGGGGAGCGAAAUUUAGUAGCGAAGUAGCUGAUUUCACACUGUCAAGAAAAGUCUCUAUCGAGGUUAAAGGUACCCGUACCGCAAACCGACACAGGUGGGUGAGGAGAGUAUCCUAAGGCCAGCGAGAGAACUGUUGUUAAGGAACUCGGCAAAAUGACCCCGUAACUUAGGGAUAAGGGGUGCCACCAUCAGGUGGCCGCAGAGAAUAGGCCCAAGCGACUGUUUACCAAAAACAUAGGUUUCUGCUAAGUCGCAAGACGAUGUAUAGGAGCUGACGCCUGCCCGGUGCUGGAAGGUUAAGGGGAUCUGUUAGAGCAAUCGAAGCAGUGAACUUAAGCCCCAGUAAACGGCGGCCGUAACUAUAACGGUCCUAAGGUAGCGAAAUUCCUUGUCGGGUAAGUUCCGACCCGCACGAAAGGCGUAACGAUUUGGGCACUGUCUCAACAACAGACUCGGUGAAAUUGUAAUUCCGGUGAAGAUGCCGGAUACCUGCGACAGGACGGAAAGACCCCAUGGAGCUUUACUGUAGCUUGACAUUGGGUCUUGGUACUACAUGUACAGGAUAGGUGGGAGGCUUUGAAACCAGGACGCCAGUUUUGGCGGAGCCAUCCUUGGGAUACCACCCUUGUAGUACUGGGACUCUAACCAUAGGCCAUGAAUCUGGUCUUGGGACACUGUCAGGUGGGCAGUUUGACUGGGGCGGUCGCCUCCCAAAAGGUAACGGAGGCGCUCAAAGGUUCUCUCAGUACGGUCGGAAAUCGUACGUAGAGUGUAAAGGCAAAAGAGAGCUUGAUUGCAAGACAUACAGGUCGAGCAAGGAUGAAAAUCGGACUUAGUGAUCCGGUGGUUCUGCGUGGAAGGGCCAUCGCUCAACGGAUAAAAGCUACCCUGGGGAUAACAGGCUUAUCUCCCCCAAGAGUCCACAUCGACGGGGAGGUUUGGCACCUCGAUGUCGGCUCAUCACAUCCUGGGGCUGUAGUAGGUCCCAAGGGUUGGGCUGUUCGCCCAUUAAAGUGGUACGCGAGCUGGGUUCAGAACGUCGUGAGACAGUUCGGUCCCUAUCCGUCGCAGGCGUAGGAAAUUUGAGAAGACCUGUCCUUAGUACGAGAGGACCGGGAUGGACGUACCUCUGGUGUACCAGUUGUUCUGCCAAGGGCAUGGCUGGGUAGCUAUGUACGGAAUGGAUAAGCGCUGAAAGCAUCUAAGCGCGAAGCCAACUUCAAGAUAAGAUUUCCCACCGCAAGGGUAAGACCCCAGAAAGACUAUCUGGUUGAUAGGUCGAAGGUGUAAGUGCAGCAAUGUAUUUAGCUUAUCGAUACUAAUAGGUCGAGGACUUGACC